rnacentral:rRNA from 1 species
GUGGAUUAGAUACCCGGGUAGUCCACGCCGUAAACGGUGGGAACUAGUUGUAGGGGCCAUUCCACGGCUUCUGUGACGAAGCUAACGCAUUAAGUUCCCCGCCUGGGGAGUACGGCCGCAAGGCUAAAACUCAAAGGAAUUGACGGGGGCCCGCACAAGCGGCGGAGCAUGCGGAUUAAUUCGAUGCAACGCGAAGAACCUUACCAAGGCUUGACAUAUACAGGAAACGUGCAGAGAUGUACGCCCCGCAAGGUCUGUAUACAGGUGGUGCACGGUCGUCGUCAGCU